UACAGAGGUCCCAAGCGUUGUUCGGAUUCACUGGGCGUAAAGGGUGCGUAGGUGGCGAGGUAAGUCGGAUGUGAAAGCUCGGAGCUCAACUCCGAAAUGGCAUUGGAAACUACCUUGCUUGAGGGUUGGAGGGGGGACUGGAAUUUACGGUGUAGCGGUGAAAUGCGUAGAUAUCGUAAGGAAGACCAGUGGCGAAGGCGGGUCUCUGGACAGUUCCUGACGCUGAGGCACGAAGGUCAGGGGAGCAAACAGG
rnacentral:rRNA from 1 species